CCAACCUCCUCUCCUCUCACGCUACUCUCCUCUCUGCUUCUCCUCUCCUCUCCUCUUGGCGACCGACGACGACUCCUCCACAUCGCGAAGAUCGCAGCCGAUCGAUCAGUUUGGCCCUCUGUUUUCCGUUGAUCUGCACAAAAAAGUUUAACCUGUGAUUUCUGUGGAAAAAACUGGGAGAACCAUAUGAUAGAGGAACUUCAAUCUGAUGGUAGAUUUCUCCUUGUGAAGAGGCCAGAUGAAGGUUUACUUGCUGGCCUCUGGGAGUUUCCAUCUGUCCUGUUGGGGGCAGAGACUGACUUGGCCACGAGGAGAAAUGCUAUUGAUAAGUUUUUGAAGAAGUCUUUCAAUCUAGAGUAAGCUCUCUGUGUUAUAUUUAGACUUUUCUUUGCUUGUGAUGGCAUGAAGGUGGGAUGUAUGUUUUUUGCAUGAAAAAGCAGACAACAAAACUAUGGCUUGGAAAUCUGUCGAUAGCAAGACCCUUUCAAGCAUGGGAUUAACAUCUGGAGUAAGAAAGGUUUACUCUAUGAUUGAGAAGUUCAAGCAAAACAAAUCUAAACCCAUCCCAGGAAAAGCAAGAAAGAAAAAGAAAUCAUGAAACUAAAGGGUGCGUGACGUAGUCAACAAGAUGCUAAUUGUGUAGAUUGCUUCAAGGUUUUCUCUUCCAGAAGGCUGCACCAUUUGGUUGGUAAGCAAACAUCCGCUUGCAAGAGUUCACAAUUCAGCUUCAGAUGGUUUUUAUUUGCUGCAUGUGUUUCAUAAACAAAUGAGUAUUUAUGGACAUCAUUAAAAUUUAUGUUUAAUGACCAUUUUGCUAUGC